rnacentral:rRNA from 1 species
GUGGGGAAUCUUGCGCAAUGGGCGAAAGCCUGACGCAGCCAUGCCGCGUGAAUGAUGAAGGUCUUAGGAUUGUAAAAUUCUUUCACCGGGGACGAUAAUGACGGUACCCGGAGAAGAAGCCCCGGCUAACUUCGUGCCAGCAGCCGCGGUAAUACGAAUGGGGCUAGCGUUGCUCGGAAUUACUGGGCGUAAAGGGAGCGUAGGCGGACAUUUAAGUCAGGGGUGAAAUCCCGGGGCUCAACCUCGGAAUUGCCUUUGAUACUGGGUGUCUUGAGUGUGAGAGAGGUAUGUGGAACUCCGAGUGUAGAGGUGAAAUUCGUAGAUAUUCGGAAGAACACCAGUGGCGAAGGCGACAUACUGGCUCAUUACUGACGCUGAGGCUCGAAAGCGUGGGGAGCAAACAGGAUUAGAAACCCUGGUAGUCC